UGUGGGAGCUGGCUUGCCUGCGACGCAGGCACCUCGGUGCAUCAGCCAAACCGAGUCGAUGCUUUCGCAGGCAAGCCAGCUCCCACA
rnacentral:misc_RNA from 1 species